GGAAAGGCUUACGGAGGAUACCUAGGCACCUAGAUAUGAGGAAGGGCAUAGUAAUAGACAAAAUGCUUCUGGGAGUUGAAAAUAAGCAUAGAUCCGGAGAUUACCAAAUAGGGCAACCUUUUGAAAUGCGACUGAAUCCAUGACCAGGAAAGAGACAACCUGGUGAACUAAAGCAUCUUAGUAGCCAUAGGAAAAGAAAGCAAAAGUGAUUCUCGUAGUAGUGGCGAGCAAAAUGGAAGCAGUCUAAAUCGUGAAAAUAGGAGUGUGGGAGAGCAAUACAAGUGUCGUGCUGCUAGGCGAAGAAACCUGAAUGUUUCACCUGAAAGUAUCACUAGCUUACACUCUGACCAGAAUAACAUGAGGCACAUGGAAUCUCGUGUGAAUCAGCAAAGACCACCUUGCAAGGCUAAAUAUUCCUAGGUAACCGAUAGCGAAGUAGUACCAUGAGGGAAGAGUGAAAAUAACCCCCAUCGGGGAGUGAAAUAGAACAUGAAACCAUAAGAUCCGAUGUACUGGGAGGAGAUAGGGCUCUGAACGCGUGCCUAUUGAAGAAUGAGACAGCGACUCAUAGGCAGUGGCUUAGUUAAGGAAAAUCACUGGAGCCGUAGUGAAAGUGAGUCUUCAUAGGGAAAUUAUCACUGCUUAUAGACCCAAACCUGUGUGAUCUAUCCAUGACCAGGAUAAAUCUUGGGUGAAACUAAGUGGAGGUCUGAAUCGACUGAUGUUGAAAAAUCAGUAGAUGAGUUAUGGUUAGGGGUGAAAUGCCACUCGAACCUAGAGCUAGCAGGUUUUCCUCAAAAUAUGUUGAGGCGCAGUAGUUGACUAGACAUCUAGGGUGAAGCACUAUUUCGGUGCGGGACUCAAGAGCGGUACCAAAUCGAGGCAAACUCUGAAUACUAGGUAUGGCCUUAAAAAAUAGGGGUCAAAGUCAGCUAGUGAGAUGAUGGGGGAUAAGCUUCAUCUUCGAAGGGGAAAUAACCCGGAUCACCAGCUAAGGCCCUUAAAUAAUUGCUUAAUGAUAAAUGAGGUAGGGGUGCAAAGAUAGCCAGGAGGUUUGCCUAGAAGCAGCCAUCCUUGAAAGAGUGCUUAAUAGCUUACUGAUCGAGUGCUCUUGCAUUGAAGAUGAAUGGGGUUACGCAAUCUGCCAAAGCUAUGGGGUGUAAAAAUACAUAGGUAGGGGAGCAUUCUGCCUUAGAGGGAAGUCUCCACGCGAGUGGUGGUGGAAAAAGCGGAAUUGAGAAUAUCGGCUUGAGUAACAUACACAUUGGUAAGAAUCCAUUGCCUCAAAAACCUAAGGGUUCCUCCACAAGGUUUGUCCACGGAGGGUGAUUUAGGGCCUCAGAUUAAACCGAAAGGCGUAGUCGAUGCACAACAGGUGAAUAUUACUGUACUACCCCUUGUUGGUCCCUAAGGACGGGGGAGGCUAGGUUAGUUGAAAGAUGGUUAUCGAUUCAAGAACAUAAGGUGUCCCUGCCUUUUUUUCAGGGUAAGAAGGGGUAGAGAAAAUGCCUCAAGCAAAUGUUUUAAUACCAGGAGCUACGGCGUUGAAGUAACCCAUGCCAUACUCCCAUGAAAAGCUUGAACGAAUUUGAGCAAGAGGGUACCUGUACCUAAAACUGACAUAGGUGGGUAGGUAGAGAAUACCUAGGGGUGCAAGACAAUUCUUUCUAAGGAAUUUGGCAAAAUACCCUGUAACUUCGGGAGAAGGGGUACCUUUUCACAUCAUAAAGGGGGUCACAGCGACCAGGCCCAGGUGAUUGUUUACCAAAAAUAUAGGUCUCCGUAAAGUGUUAAGACCAUGUAUGGGGGCUGACGCCUGCCCAGUGACAGAAGGUCAAGGAAGUUGGUGACCUGAUGACAGAAGAGCCGACGAACGAAGCCUUAGCGAACAACGAUUGUAACUAUAAUGGUCCUAAGGUAGCAAAAUUCCUUGUCAGGUAAGGUUCAACCCAUACAAAAGGCAUAACAAUCUGGGCAUUGUCUUUGAGAGAGGCUCGGUGAAAUAGACAUAUUUGUAAAGAUGCGGACUACCUACGCCUGGACAGAAAGAACCUAUGAAGCUUCAUUAUUCCCUGGGAUUGGCUUUGGUCCUUUCCUGUGCAGCUUACGUGAAAGGCGAAGAAGGCAUCCUUUCGGGAGGGCUUAAGCCAUCAGUAAGAUACCACUCUAGAAGGGCUAGAAUUCUAACCUCGUGUCAGGACCUAUGGUCCAAGGGACAGUCUUAGGUAGACAGUUUCUAUGGGGCAUAGUCCUCCUAAAAGGUAACGGAGGCAUGCAAAGGUUUUCACAGGCUGGACAAAGAUUGACCCUCGAGUGCAAAGGCAGAAGGGAGCUUGACUGCAAAACCCACCCGUCCAGUAGGGACAAAAGUCGACCUUAGUGAUCCAAUGGUGGCAAGUGGAAGUGUCAUCGCUCAACAGAUAAAAGUUACUCUAUGGAUAACAGGUUGAUCUUCCCCAAGAUCACANGAAAAGGCCGUCUCUCAAUGGAUAAAAGUUACUCUAAGGAUAACAGGCUGAUCUUUCCCAAGAGCUUACAUCGAUGGAAAGGUUUUGUGCCUCGAUGUCGGUUCUUUUCCACCUGGGGAUGUAAAUGUUCCAAGGGUUGGGAGGUUUGCCCAUUAAAGUGGUAUAUGAGCUGGGUUUAGAAUGUCGUAAUAUAGUUUGGUCCAUAUCCAAUGUGGGAGUUAGAGCAUUAAGAGGACCUUUCCCUAGUAUAAGAGGACCGAAAAGGAUGCACCUCUAGUGUACCAGUUAUAGUGCCCACAAUAAACACUGAGUAGCCAUGUGCGAAGCGGAUCACUGCUGAAAAUAUCUAAGUAGUAAGACCACCCCAAGAUGAGUACUCUCAUAUUUCGACUUCCCAGAGCUUCCGGUGCCACAACCGAGACAACUAUGGGUUCUUUUCCCCUGCGGGGAUGGAGCAACAUAAGUUUUUUUGAGAAUUCAAGAGAAGGUCACAGUGAGAUGAGUCAUUUAUCAUUGUGAUAGGUGCCAAGGGGAAGUGUAGUGAUGUAUGUAGCCGAGGCAUCCUAAUAGACCGGUAGACUUAGAA
rnacentral:rRNA from 1 species